AUCAUCUACCUUCGAGUGGGGAAUAACUGAGAGAAAUCUUGAGGGUAAUACCGCAUAAUACCUACGGGUCAAAGCAGCAAUGCGCUUGAAGAGGAGUUCGCGGCAGAUUAGUUAGUUGGCGGGGUAAUGGCCCACCAAGACGAUGAUCUGUAUCCGGCCUGAGAGGGCGCACGGACACACUGGAACUGAAACACGGUCCAGACUCCUACGGGAGGCAGCAGUGGGGAAUUUUGCGCAAUGGGGGAAACCCUUACGCAGCAACGCCGCGUGGAGGAUGAAAUCCCUUGGGAUGUAAACUCCUUUCGAUCGGGAAGAUAAUGACGGUACCGAGAGAAGAAGCCCCGGCUAACUUCGUGCCAACAGCCGCGGUAAUAACGAGGGGGGCAAGCGUUGUUCGGAAUUAUUGGGCGUAAAGGGUGCGUAGGCGGUUUGAUAAGUCACAUGUGAAAUCUUCGGGCUCAACCCGAAGUCUGCAUGCGAAACUGUCGGGCUUGAGUAUGGGAGAGGUGAGUGGAAUUUCCGGU
rnacentral:rRNA from 1 species